CCACGUCUGAAAAAUUGUGCUUCCUUCCCAUGCAAGGACAGAAGAAAGCACCAAGGCUUGGUUACCAAGUGAUGGGUAUUCAGCAAAUCCCAAACACGUCUUGGGAUGACAACACGAACGGCCUGAAGCAGGACAAGAGUGUGCCUGCAUGUCCUUGGCUUGGCUCUCCCUCCUCCACGGCUGGCAUUGUGUCUGUGCUAUUGUCCGCUUCACUAAAACGGAAUUAAGGGAGCUGAGGUAAGCCAUUGACCAGAGUGUUUCCUCAGCUCCUGAGGAAUGUUUACUGAGGUGUGGUGUUUUUCAAAGCCUUUAAUAAGAAGUACGCCAUGUCCUCCGUACCUUUAUUUUUCUAAAUGUGUGGGGAGGACACACUGUUUUCGCUCCUUUGCCAGCAUUCCAAAACAUUCUUGUCGCCGUGAAUUCCAUGGCACCCUGUGAGGGUGGACAGCAGGGUGAGAGCUUUGUACUGCAGUAAUAUAUUCAGGUUUUCCAAAGUAAAGAAACCGGACUCUGUAGAGACAUCCUAAACUAAGGUCCCUCAAAGGUGUAAAAUGGAAAUCUUUUUGAAAAAGGCAAUGUGUGUGGGAAUAAAAUUAGAAUUCACCUUUGCCUUUGGGAUUAU
rnacentral:lncRNA from 1 species